rnacentral:lncRNA from 1 species
GCAGAACAAGUCCAGUCUUAAGAGGGCCUCUUCAAGUCAACAAACACAUGCCAUGGGAGGUGGAUCCAACAGCAAGAAAUACAAGAAAGUCAGCAUGUUUGAUGAGCUGAGAGAGCCUAGGAAGUAGAAACUUUGGUCAAUAUGUUUGUGGUGAACUAGUCCAUCAUUUUGGUGUUUCUUUUCAUGUUGAGUUUAAACUUGGUGGUGUGGUAGUGUUGAACUUAACCUUGGUGUUAUGUUGGUAGACAUGUGUUCUGACAGCUAUG